rnacentral:rRNA from 1 species
AGUGAGUGGCGGACGGGUGAGUAACACGUGGGUAACCUGCCCUAAAGUGGGGGAUAACAUUUGGAAACAGAUGCUAAUACCGCAUAAAACCUAACACCGCAUGGUGUAGGGUUGAAAGAUGGUUUCGGCUAUCACUUUAGGAUGGACCCGCGGUGCAUUAGUUAGUUGGUGAGGUAAAGGCUCACCAAGACCGUGAUGCAUAGCCGACCUGAGAGGGUAAUCGGCCACACUGGGACUGAGACACGGCCCAGACUCCUACGGGAGGCAGCAGUAGGGAAUCUUCCACAAUGGACGAAAGUCUGAUGGAGCAACGCCGCGUGAGUGAAGAAGGUUUUCGGAUCGUAAAACUCUGUUGUUGGAGAAGAAUGUAUCUGAUAGUAACUGAUCAGGUAGUGACGGUAUCCAACCAGAAAGCCACGGCUAACUACGUGCCAGCAGCCGCGGUAAUACGUAGGUGGCAAGCGUUGUCCGGA